rnacentral:rRNA from 1 species
AACGAACGCUGGCGGCAUGCCUAACACAUGCAAGUCGAACGAGCCCUUCGGGUCUAGUGGCGCAUGGGUGCGUAACGCGUGGGAACCUGCCCUUAGGUUCGGAAUAACUCCCCGAAAGGGGUGCUAAUACCGGAUCAUGUCUUCGGCCCAAAGAUUUAUCGCCUUUGGAGGGGCCCGCGUUGGAUUAGCUAGUUGGUAGGGUAAAAGCCUACCACGGCGACGAUCCAUAGCUGGUCUGAGAGGAUGAUCAGCCACACUGGGACUGAGACACGGCCCAGACUCCUACGGGAAGCAGCAGAGGGGAAUAGUGGACAGUGGGCGAAAGCCUGAUCCAGCAAUGACGCGUGAGUGAUGAAGGCCUUAGGGUUGUAAAGCGCUUUUACCCGUGAUGAUAAUGACAGUACCGGGAGAAUAAGCUCCGGCUAACUCCGUG